UACGUAGGGCGCAAGCGUGUCCGGAAUUAUUGGGCGUAAAGAGCUCGUAGGCGGUCUGUCGCGUCCGUUGUGAAAACUCGAGGCUCAACCUCGGGCUUGCAGUGGAUACGGGCAGACUAGAGUGCGGUAGGGGAGACUGGAAUUCCUGGUGUAGCGGUGAAAUGCGCAGAUAUCAGGAGGAACACCGGUGGCGAAGGCGCCACUCUGGGCCGGUACUGACGCUGAGGAGCGAAAGCGUGGGUAGCAAACAGG
rnacentral:rRNA from 1 species